UCGCCCCCACAUUCUGCAGUCGGGGCUUGAGCUCCGAAGUUGGCAGAAGUGCCCCUGGCAGCAGCAUCCCAGCUGCAGCUCAGGCUUCUCACAAGCUGAGGUGCUGUGCGGGGAGGUUCCUUGUGCUGAUUUACGGCAAAAAGUUACGAACCACCUUGGCUGCAAAGUCAUCGUGUGUAAGUUAUUGACGAACCUAAUGAAAACUGGUAGAGCUGCUCGCCUUGCUGGGGGAAUUGUUUGGCCUUCAGUGCUGCCAGCGAGGACAAUACUGGCACGGGGAGCAGUGUGUAAAGCAGCCAUUAGGAAGGCUGGAAUCGGAUUUCCAGGAGAGACUGACUGCAAAAAGAGAGACAGGACGGAGAGGGGGCAUGGCAGCUGGCAGGGGAUGGCUGCUGGCUGCGCUGAGCGGUGGCACAGAAGCUCCCCUCAAACCCAGAAGAAAUAACCCAGAGAAGCUGUUAGAUUUCAGGGUAAAUUUACAGAAAGAUAUAAUCUUGUAAUUAAGGGAUGAUCUUGAGCUGCAAUAACCAUGAAUUCAUACAGUGUUACUGCCUACAUGGUAUUUUUCCACACAGUAAUUACUUUUCUGUAAUAAUUCUGUUUUCUGCCAGGGGUAAGGAAACCACUGC